UACAGAGGAUCCGAGCGUUAUCCGGAUUUAUUGGGUUUAAAGGGUGCGUAGGCGGUUUGAUAAGUUAGAGGUGAAAUGUCGGGGCUCAACCCCGAAACUGCCUCUAAUACUGUUGGACUAGAGAAUAGUUGCGGUAGGCGGAAUGUAUGGUGUAGCGGUGAAAUGCUUAGAGAUCAUACAGAACACCGAUUGCGAAGGCAGCUUACCAAACUAUAUCUGACGUUGAGGCACGAAAGCGUGGGUAGCAAACAGG
rnacentral:rRNA from 1 species